rnacentral:rRNA from 1 species
UAGGGAAUCUUCGGCAAUGGACGGAAGUCUGACCGAGCAACGCCGCGUGAGUGAAGAAGGUUUUCGGAUCGUAAAGCUCUGUUGUUAGAGAAGAACGUUGGUAGGAGUGGAAAAUCUACCAAGUGACGGUAACUAACCAGAAAGGGACGGCUAACUACGUGCCAGCAGCCGCGGUAAUACGUAGGUCCCGAGCGUUGUCCGGAUUUAUUGGGCGUAAAGCGAGCGCAGGCGGUUCUUUAAGUCUGAAGUUAAAGGCAGUGGCUUAACCAUUGUACGCUUUGGAAACUGGAGGACUUGCGUGCAGGAGGGGAGAGUGGAAUUCCAUGUGUAGCAGUGAAAUGCGUAGAUAUAUGGAGGAACACCGGUGGCGAAAGCGGCUCUCUGGUCUGUAACUGACGCUGAGGCUCGAAAGCGUGGGGAGCAAACAGG